GCAGAUGAAGGAACCGAGGUCUAGAGAAGUAAGGUCAGCAAUAGCAAGGAUGGUAACACUUUUAGAGACAGUGGCCAGGGGGAAACUUGUGCUGAGAGGACCAAAAACCCAGGAGAAAAAGGAAAAAACCCCUCUAAUCUGAUGCAAUAGCCAGAGCCUGUCGCUGUAACCCCCGCCCAUUCUGCUUCUGUAAUGACGCUUGGGGCGGGACCCAAUCAAUUGGCUCCACAUGCUCUGACUUAUACUUCCGACCAAUGUCCAUUCUAUAGCUGUGAAACGCCCCAGAACUUGUUUGCAUUUGCCUAUAAAGGAAAUGUAAAUCGCCAGCACGGGGCUCUCUGGUUCUCUCCGCUCCACUAGCUGGGAGUGGGCAGAGGCCCAGGUUCGAACCUGCAAUAAACGACCCUUGCUUUUUGGCUUUGACUCUGGA